AGAGACAGUAAAGGCGCUGCCAUUGGGCUAUUCAGCAGGAACUUCUUGAGCAUAAAAGAGGGUCAUACGGUCUUCUCUCUCAGUUUUCUGGACCUUCUAUCGCAGGACACUUCUCUGAGAAAUAGAAUAUUUGGAAGAAGAAUAAGACGGCUAACUAUGAAGCAUUCACUGCUUAUCAUCGUAAUUAUAAUGCACGUUGCACUUUUUGUCUGUGGCAAUGCGGCAACGUGCACAGUUCGUGUGAACGCAAAUGAUUGUUCGUACAAAGGUCAAACAAUUUACCGUGGCCAAUCAAAGUACUUCCCAGAAGAGUGCGUUUACGCAUCCUGUAGUUUCCGUGAUGACACAGUCAAGCUCAGUGGGUGCAAGCCAACUUAUAGCAAAUACGGCACUGGCUCGGCCCUGGACCAGUGCUGUUCAAGUUGCCCCUAAACAUGUUAACUUCCUCCACCGCUUUUCCUGACCAGCGGAACAUCGACUGAUUUCUGAAGAAAAUAUGGUGGCCUGGGAAUUUCCAUUCUCUGUUGACAAGGAGUGAUACCAUACAUUUUUACAUAUAAUAAAGUUUUUGAUCUUCUCAUUAAAUGAUUCUUUAAGUACGUA